GACGAACGCUGGCGGCGUGCCUAAUACAUGCAAGUAGAACGCUGAAGAGAGGAGCUUACUCUUCUUGGAUGAGUUGCGAACGGGUGAGUAACGCGUAGGUAACCUGCCUUGUAGCGGGGGAUAACUAUUGGAAACGAUAGCUAAUACCGCAUAACAAUGGAUGACACAUGUCAUUUAUUUGAAAGGGGCAAUUGCUCCACUACAAGAUGGACCUGCGUUGUAUUAGCUAGUAGGUGAGGUAAUGGCUCAUCUAGGCGACGAUACAUAGCCGACCUGAGAGGGUGAUCGGCCACACUGGGACUGAGACACGGCCCAGACUCCUACGGGAGGCAGCAGUAGGGAAUCUUCGGCAAUGGGGGCAACCCUGACCGAGCAACGCCGCGUGAGUGAAGAAGGUUUUCGGAUCGUAAAGCUCUGUUGUAAGUCAAGAACGGGUGUGAGAGUGGAAAGUUCACACUGUGACGGUAGCUUACCAGAAAGGGACGGCUAACUACGUG
rnacentral:rRNA from 1 species